CCUACGGGAGGCAGCAGUAGGGAAUAUUGCUCAAUGGGGGAAACCCUGAAGCAGCAACGCCGCGUGGAGGAUGAAGGUUUUCGGAUUGUAAACUCCUUUUGUUAGAGAAGAUAAUGACGGUAUCUAACGAAUAAGCACCGGCUAACUCCGUGCCAGCAGCCGCGGUAAUACGGAGGGUGCAAGCGUUACUCGGAAUCACUGGGCGUAAAGAGCGCGUAGGCGGGAUAGCAAGUCAGAUGUGAAAUCCUAUGGCUUAACCAUAGAACUGCAUUUGAAACUGUAAGUCUAGAGUAUGGGAGAGGUAAGUGGAAUUCUUGGUGUAGGGGUAAAAUCCGUAGAGAUCAAGAGGAAUACUCAUUGCGAAGGCGACCUACUAGAACAUAACUGACGCUGAUGCGCGAAAGCGUGGGGAGCAAACAGGAUUAGAUACCCGUGUAGUC
rnacentral:rRNA from 1 species